GAGUGUCGGCGCGCGCAUCCGGAGUCGCGGGCGCAUCGCACGCGACAAACCACGCGGGAGGCCUGAAGGCUGUGGGACUAUCACGGUGACAUUUGACAUGUGCGGCGCGCGUUCGGGAAUGAUCGGCUAAGUCCGGAGCGUUUCGGAUCGGUUCGGGUGUUGUCGUUUCACUUAAAUUGGCCCAACGGUUAUGAUAUGAAUAUGAACAGAAUUUAGAGAUUUUGGUAUGAAAGUACUGCACCCAGAGUAUUCUCCUCAUCGAAAUCCGUUAUAUUUUGGCGUGAAAUAGUCACUAUUGUCACAAUUUUAUGUAAAAAAUAGGCUCCUGUUGGCUUUACCGUUGCAUUUUGGCAUGAAAUAGUCACUACUGUCACAAUUUUGUGUAAAAAAUAGGCUCCUAUUGGCUUUAUCCGUAUCUAU